rnacentral:rRNA from 1 species
AUGGAUAAUUCAUCGGCCUCCCUUCGCAAGGGCCUAGGAUCUAUUGCCAUUCUCACUGCAUGGUCCGUAUGGAAGCAUCAAAACGCUGCUAUCUUCGAUGGCCUCACCCCCUCCUUGGUUGAUUUGGUUCGUACCAUCAAGGAUGAGGCGCGUUGUUGGGCCACAGCAGGCGCCAAGGGACUUAUCAUCUCAAUCAUCCCAGUAGCCUAG